AAGAAUGUAAAUGGCAAAGGAAGCUCUGGGAAGAAGUCCAACCUUUUCAACAGGGGACAAGUGAACCACGUGAACGUGGAGGAGGUUGAAGAGGAGCCAGAUGCAGUUAUCGGUAAGUUUUUGGUUAAGUCAUUUACUGCAAUCAUUCAUUUUGAUACUGGUGCAUCGCAUUCAUACGUUUCAUGUGGAUUUGUGGAUAAGUAUAAGUUGCCCACCAAAGUUCUUAGGACACCCAUGUUAGUAAGCUCGCCAGGAGCGGAGUAUAUGGCAAGCCAAGGAUGUUUUCAGAUGCCAGUGACCAUAGGUAGGCAUGUUUUCCCCUCAGACUUAAUAAUUCUGGAGUCACAAGGAUUGGAUGUGAUACUAGGAAUGGAUUGGCUAUCGAUGUAUGGAGGAAACAUCGAUUGCGCCAGUAAGUCAAUUCUGCUCACCACACCGGAGGGAAAAAGUAUCAAGUAUGUAUCCAGACAUGUAGCAAGGAGGACCCAAGUAAAUUCCCUCUUAGGAGUUGUUCAGGAGGAAGUGCCUGUAGUGAAGGAUCACCCAGAUGUAUUUCCAGAGGAACUACCAGGCAUGCCGCCGGAUCGAGACAUUGAGUUUUUGAUAGAGCUGUUGCCAGGCACCGGACCAAUAUCGAAGAGACCAUACCGGAUGCCCGCAAAUGAUCUGGAGGAGAUUAAGAAGCAGAUCAAGGAGCUAUUGGAGAAAGGUGACAUUCGACGAAGCUUGUCACCAUGGGGAGCCCCAGUGCUCUUGGUUGAGAAGAAGGAUGGAUCAUUGAGAAUGGUUGUUGAUUAUCGUGCGUUGAAUGAAGUGACGAUCAAGAACAAGUACCCACUGCCGAUGAUCAAUGGUUUGUUUGACCAGCUGCAAGGAGCUAAAGUAUUCUCCAAGAUCGAUUUGCGAUCAAGAUCCGAGAACAGGAUAUACCUAAGACAGCUUUCACCACAAGGUACGUGCUAUAUGAGUACACGGUUAUGUCAUUCAGAUUGA
rnacentral:rRNA from 1 species